GAGUUUGAUCAUGGCUCAGGAUGAACGCUAGCGAUAGGCUUAACACAUGCAAGUCGAGGGGCAGCGAGGGUAGCAAUACCUGUCGGCGACCGGCGCACGGGUGAGUAACGCGUAUGUAACCUGCCCGCAACAGGGGGAUAACCCGGCGAAAGUCGGACUAAUACCGCAUAAAACAGGGGUCCCGCAUGGGAAUAUUUGUUAAAGAUUUAUCGGUUGCGGAUGGGCAUGCGUACCAUUAGGUAGUUGGUGAGGUAACGGCUCACCAAGCCUUCGAUGGUUAGGGGUUCUGAGAGGAAGGUCCCCCACACUGGUACUGAGACACGGACCAGACUCCUACGGGAGGCAGCAGUGAGGAAUAUUGGUCAAUGGGCGAGAGCCUGAACCAGCCAAGUCGCGUGAAGGAUGACUGCCCUAUGGGUUGUAAACUUCUUUUACAAGGGAAUAAAAUGAGAUACGUGUAUU
rnacentral:rRNA from 1 species